UGUUAGCCUGCUUUAAUUAGAGAAAGGACAAUUAGCAUCAGUGUUAUUCCACAUUUCUUGGGUUAUAUUUAUAUUCAAAAAUAUAAAGAGAUUAGUUAGCAUAUGUUUGGUCCAGAGGAUGAUCCACAGUGAUGUUGUGUUCUGCAGCCGAGCACUGAAUGACUUUUCCCACCAGAAGAUCGUCCAGCAUGUAGCAGCAGAUUAUUAUAUAGGCAACUGUGUACUGUCUGUAAUUGGUAAAUCACAUUUUCUGCUGUAUUUAGAAAAAGGAACCAUCACUUUAUUUGAAUAAAUGAAUAAACAAAAUGCAGGUAUAUGGAGGAAACUCAGAUGUCCCAGUUUUACACUGGGACAUGAACACAGCAUAAGUUUGCGGAUCUCGGCGAAGCUGGCAGUGUGAAAUUUGUCUCAAAAUUAUACAUAUUAUACACAUUUGUAAAUCAUACCGUACGUGCACUUGCAACCGUUUUGAGGUUUCUCUCCAUAUAUAAAUAGCGACUGUAAAUGUCAGUUUAAAUCGUCUUACCUGUAAAACUUGCCGUCUUUACCGGAAGUCAAUGUACACACCUUAACGGGUGGGAGUGUUUAUUUUUUCCAGUGUAACUGAAAAGUUAAGUUUCAUUUUCCUGUUCUGGAAAAUCAUGUGUUAUUUAGUCGGCGACAGAGAUUACAAUUACAAAAUGGAGAGCAGUCUGUUCCCAGAACUUUUUUGGAAAAAAGACAAGGACAACGAAAAGGAAGAAGGAAGAACUAGCCAUAAGAAAAGAAAGAGAGUCACGGAUGAUAAAGAUGAAAAGAACCUCUGGCGUGUAAAAUGUGGAACCAAAAAGGGUUGGAUGGAUGUAGAGAAGUUGAGAAAAGGUAAGGAUUGUAUUGAGUUUGAAGGCUCCUUUUACAGUCCACCUGAGUUUGAGAAGCUUGCAGGAAAAGACUCAUGUAGAAAAUGGAAGUCAUCUAUUUACCACAAGAAAGCUCCUCUGCACUUUUGGUUCAAGAAAGGUUACCUAACCACUACAGGAUAUAGACAAAAGAAAAGAAAAAGACAAUCAUCAGACCUUGAGUCCCAGGAACUCUUCACAGAACGCAAGGAAGAUCAUGAUGAAGAUGAGGAUGGAGAAGAGGAUGAUGAGGAUAUGGAUGAAGAUUAUGUAUGGGACAAUGAGCAGGGCACUAAGAAAAAUGAAGAUAAAAAAGCUACACAGAUUUAUAUCUCUUCUGAAGAAGAAGAAAGCGAGGAAGAUCCUGUUGAAGAUGAAGAUGAGGAUGGAGAACAAGAAGAUGAGCAUAUGGAUGAAGAUGAUGUAGGUAACGAUGAGCGUAGCACUGAGGAUGAUGAGGAUGAAGAAAGUGAUAAUGGUGAGGAUGAGACUGUGCCUGCUGUUGCCUCUAACCAUACUGACAGCAGUGGUAUCAAAGAGAGAGUAACACCUACAAUUCCAACACCUGGAAAACAUGCAUUAGAGAUGAAAGAAGUAAAGGGUAUCGUUAACAUCCUUCCUGAGAAGACUAGACAUCAUUCUGACAUGCCAAGAUCUGAAGUCAGUGGAAAUAACAAAGAUGUGGCAAAAAACACAGCAAUCAAACAGCAAAAUGUUAAGAAACAACCUGAAGAGAAACUGAAAAAGACAACAACAAGCACAAUUUCAAUACCUGGGAAACCUGCACUAAAGAUGAAAGAAGCUAAUGGUAUCGUUAAAAGCCUUCCUGAGAAGGCUAGACAUCAUCCUGACACGACAAGACCUGAAGUCAUUGGAAAUAUCAGAGAUGUGGCAACAAACACAGCAAUCAAACAGCUGAAUGUUAAGAAAGAACCCAAAGAGGAACUGAAACACAAGGAAGAUCGUGUUAAAGAUCAAGAUGAAGAUGAAGAACAAGAAGAUGAGCAUAUGGAUGAAGAUGAUGUUGGUGAUGAUGAGCUUAGCACUGAGGAAGAUGAGGAUGAAGAAAGUGAUCAUGGUGAGGAUGAGACUGUGCCUGCUGUUGCCUCUAACCAUACUGGCAGCAGUGGUAUCAAAGAGAGAGUAACAAGUACAAUUCCAACACCUGGAAAACAUGCAUUAGAGAUGAAGGAAGUAAAGGGUAUCGUUAACAUCCUUCCUGAGAAGACCAGACAUCAUCCUGACAUGCCAAGAUCUGAAGUCAGUGGAAAUAACAGAGAUGUUGCAACAAACACAGCAAUCAAACAGCAAAAUGUUAAACAACCUGAAGAGAAACUGAAGAAGACAACAACCGACACAAUUUCAACACCCUUGAAACCUGCACUAAAGAUCAAAGAAGUAAAGGGUGUCGUUAAUAGCCUUCCUGAGAAGGCUAGACAUCAUCCUGACAUGACAAGAUCUGAAGUCAGUGGAAAUAACAGAGAUGUUGCAACAAACACAGCAAUCAAACAGCAAAAUGUUAAGAAACAACCUGAAGAGAAACUGAAUAAGACAAUAAGUAGCACAAUUUCAAUACCUGGGAAACCUGCACAAAAUAUCAAAGAAGUAAAGGGUGUCUUUAAUAGCCUUCCUGAGAAGGCUAGACAUCAUCCUGACACGACAAGAUCUGAAGUCACUGAAAAUCCCAGAGAUGUGGCAAAAAACACAGCAAUCAAACAGCUGAAUGUUAAGAAACAACCUGAAGAGGAACUGAAGAAGACAACAACCGACACAAUUUCAACACCUGUGAAACCUGCACUAAAGAUCAAAGAAGUAAAGGGUGUCAUUAAUAGCCUUCCUGAGGUAAGACUGUUUUAUUUUGUUAAAAACUUACCAUUCAAAAUAAAGAUGAAUUAAAACACCACUGUCACUAAAGCACUUGCUCAUAGGGGGUCAUCUAAUUGGUGGUGUUUUCUCUGUAUUAUUGUAGGCUUUUUACAAUAUAAAGAACAAUGAGGUGACUGUCUUUAUAGUUUGAUGUUAUAUAAAUAAAACUGGAUUAAUCUGAAUCUUCCUUAAUAUUAUUUUGAUAAUAAAACUGAAAAAUUUUCCCUGAUCUACUUUUACUCCAUCCAAUCUUACCAUUCAAAAUAAAUAAUAAAUAACGAUAAUAAGAUAUUCUUGGUUGUCUUUGAAACAGAAGGCUAGACAUCAUCCUGACACGACAAGAUCUGAAGUCAAUAGAAAUUCCAGAGAUGUGGCAAAAAACACAGCAAUCAAACAGCUGAAAGUUAAGAAAGAACCUGAAGAGGAACUGAGUUGUUCAAACACUAAAAGUUCUGCAUUCCUGUUUUGUUGUUGUUGUUGUUAUUUUGUGCCUAUUAUUUUUAUCAAGUUUUUUGUAGUCGAGAAAAUAAAAAUCCAAUUAAAAAUUGAAAAUCUGUAAAUUGAAAAUCUGUAAAUCUGAAAUUUAAUAUGGUGGUGGGGACCAAAAUCCUGGUCCCCACAGGGUUGAAGGCAUUUUUACACUCAAAAUUUUAGUGUCAGUUUUAGUGUCAGGGUUACAAUUGGGUUAUGGUUAGGUUUAGGGUUAGCCAUUCAUUUUUGAUGGUUAGGGUAAGCAGCUAGGGAAAGCAUUAUGUCAAUGGGAUGUCCCCACAAGGAUAGCAAACUAGACGUGUGUGUGUGUGUGUGUGUGUGUGUGUGUGUGUGUGUGUGUGUGUGUGUGUGUGUGUGUGUGUGUGUGUGUGUACACAAAUGACGAUCAAGAUGGGGAACUGGCAGUGGAAACAGAGCAUAUAGAUGAAGAGAUGACAGGGCCUGAAAAUGAAAGAGAGUUUGUAAAUUCAGGAUCUGAUGUCAGUGGAAACCAGUGGUGACCUCAAACACACUAAUCAAAAAGCAAGAUGGUGAGAAAGGAAAAGAAAAAAAACUGUGUGUGUUUCUUUUGUUUUUUCUCAAUAUGUUUUCUAAAUGUACAGGUCCUUUCUGUGAACCUCUGGCUGUGUCAGAUGACCAUCAACAUAAAGAGGUCCCCUGCUCUGGCCACAGUGUAGCUGAAGUACAAUCCAUGAGGCCAGAGAUGAGUGUGAACAUGUCAGAGGCCCGGUUGCCUGGGCCCUCAGCCAGCUCUGGUUUGAAUACAAUGGAUCUUGAUCAACUGAAGAGGGAAAAAAUAAAAAUGGAAGUAAAGGUUUUAAAAUUAAAAGAAGAGUAUUACACUUUGAAAAUAAAAGAACUUAAAAAAUGAGGAUUAAUGCUUCUGUAAAGCUGACAUUGCAGACAAUAAAUUAAAAGAUCGCUGUUUACAUUCACAAGCUGACACACGUUAUCUGGAGGUUUCUUGAGUAGAAUGUUACUUUUGAGAAAAGCUGCAAAAUCAAGUGUGCUGCAUUUAUACACUGUACUUUUUCUUUGCUAUGCUCAGGUUUCCUUUAGUAUUGUUGAUUACCAUGUUUUACUUUGUUUGUUUUACAUGUUUUUAUAAUGAAACAGAUAGAUGGUAUUUUCUUCUGUAAAAUGUGAAUAAACGAUAUUGAUGCUUUUUAUCUGUAAAUUGUGCAAAUGUUAUGAAACUGUGUUUCCUUUAGACUUUGCCCAAGCUGUAGUAAUAGUUGUAAGAAGUAGCCUUUAAACAGCAUCGUGCAAUGUCUUGAGCCACAGCUCAUUUCUUUAUGUUUUGCUUCCAAGGAGCAAGAGCUUUUAUAAAAUUUGUAAGACAAAAACAAUAGAUUAGACAAUUAGACAAAAAGUUUUUCAUGGAAAUUUGUCCAACCAUAAUGAGAAAACACAAAAUGAAAAAAAGGAGAGUUACAGUGCUGUGCAAAAGUCUUGAGCCAGGACACGUCAUGCAGAGAUAUGUUAAGUGCCCAGCUAAUAGAUCUUUGGGUAUCAUUUGGUUACACAAUUAAAAAAACCAAACUUCUGUGUUAUCUUUGGCAUUUUUCUUUUCUUUUCUUUUUUUUAUUCAAAACCUAAAUAUAGUUAUGUUAGGUAUAUAUAGACUAGAUUAAACUGAUUUACUUUGAAAUAACUCAAGAAGACAAAGUUAUCAGGCUAUAUUUAAUUAUCCUAUAGGCUCUAAUUCUUAAGUGACAAUCAGGUCAACACUCUAUGCCAGUUGGUGGCGGUAAUGAACCAACUAGCUUUUUGACAACCACGAACAAGCACCAAGAAGAUUUUUUUUUUCUUGGGGGAAAAAAGUAAACUUAAAAAAAUAUGUCCUGUCUUUUGAAAAGUAAACUUUAAAAGUAAGUACUGAGUUUUAUCUCAUUUAUUUAUGUAGUGAUACAAAUGUUCCAAUAUCUUUUCUUUCUUUUUUUUGCCUGUCCCGUCUGUUUCUUUAGCCAUCAGAAUUAUUGUCUGAAGGCCAAGAAAGAUGCCCAAUGGAUUUACUUUACCAAGUGGAUCAUCACAGCCUUGCUGUAUUGGUCCAUUCGAUUGACCUUUGUUAUUAUUAUUAUUUUAUUUUAUUUUAUUUUAUUCUCAGUUGUUACAGAUGGGACAGACAUGACUGGAAGAUAGGAAAGGGAGAAGGAAAGAAAGAGAGGGAGGGAAAAACAGAGGGGAAGAGGGACAGUGAGAAAGGGCACUUAAAAAAAUCACCUGGAUCACCUGUUGAGAGAAGAAAAACGAAAAAAAGAGGAAACAAGCAAAAAAGAGUGCACCAUCAACACCAUCACAAUAAUCUAGCUAAGUGUAAAUAACAGUAAAUACUAAAUAUUGAAUGUUAUUGUGCAGCACGCAAGACUGACAGCGCACAAUGUGCUUUGAGGUAGCAGUCAAGAAAGGUGCAGUUUGUGUCUGUGAACAGUAAACACCCAUGUGUACACCUGUGUGCACACCUGUGUUGAUGAGCGCGCUUGUGUUCAAAAGGUUUCUCCAUGUAACGAUCUGCUAGAGGGUGUGGGGAGCCAUAGCCCUGUCCCCCAGGGCAUGAAGCAGGCAUGGAGGAGAUCCAGGCUCCAGACAUCCAGAAGCCCCCAGAGUGCAAGAGCCCAAGGAGGACCACCGGAGGGGCAUCCAUGCCACCCUCUGGGGAGAGCUGAGGAGAGCCCCAGACAAGGGGUCACCCAGCAGCCACAGAGCAGAAGCCAGAGAGGGCUGCAGUGACAUGUCCGCGGGCUGUGCUGGCAGCCAGCUGCGCCAGAGUGGACCGAGCCGCAGGCCCAGAGACCAGAGGUCCGAGGUCCGAGGGCUCCACACCCCCCCGGAAGGGGCCCGCCCAAACCACGGGCGCCAGGUCCUGCCAAGUAGCCUCUGCAAGUGAGCCAGUACAUACCUGAGUGCCCAGCCCCGGACACCAAGAACCACCAACGCACCGACAUCUGAGGGCAUCAGCCACCGGCAGGGAGUGUGGUUAGGGGAGAUAGGCCUCCACACUUUGGAGGGCCUGAGAUAUUCCCAGAGAGGUGGAGUCUGAGAUCCGACCUGACAUAUAGACACAGACGAACAGGCACACACAGACACAAACAUGCAUUCCCACCCUCAGGCACACAUAUACAAGUACUCGGCACUCACCCAAUGCGGGGACAGAAACAAAUGAACACUGUGCACACAAUCACACUCCCCAAACAUACUCUAUACCCCAGGUCCAGGUACCCUCGCCCACACCUAGACCCAGGAGAUGUUACCCUUUUCCCUGGGGUGGAGACAAGCAGACCGUCCCUGGAUCCGCACCAGGGAGGCCCCGCAUCCCAGACCCCAACAGGAUGGCCAACUCCUCCUCCCAGCCCCUCCGUCCCGAUGGCUAACAGAGAAUGGGGGUGUGUGAAGACCCCAUACCUCCCUCCGCCCGCUGAUAUGUAGUGUUGUUGCGUGCUGUUCUAAAGUGCAUUUAAAACAUGGGAGGGCAUGGUGCUUCCUGCCAGAGAGCAGCAGGUGUCAGCACGGCCCUUCCCAAGAACCCUCAAUGUCUACAUGUAUUUAAAAUUGAGAGGUGGGCACCGGCUCCAGAGGUGAGGUUAAAUACACAGACCGUCCUCUGGACGCCGUAUAAUGUGCCCACCCCCAAGGCGCUAUAUGUAUGUGUUCUGAGAGUGUGAGUAAGGUGGAUGUCUAGGUUGUGGUAUAAAAUUGAGGCACAGGUGGCCAGAAGGGGACAGAGAGGAAUGAAACAAUGGCGUGAUGUAUUUUUUCUUUCUUUCUUUUGCUUGAAUGAUUCAUAGGUCAGUGUUAAGUGGCCUAAUAAUCUAAAAAAAUGAAAAUAUUCAGGUAUAAGGAUGGUACUGAAAACAAGUGUAAAAGCAGCCAAAAAGAGACUUCGAAAGACCUUAAGGAAUCCCAGAGAAAAAAAGACAUGCAACUCUAAACUUUUGCAUAGUACUGUAUGGUCAGCCACAGAAGGACUGGGCUGAUAAGAGCGAAAUCAUGGAGAACAGGCUCAAGGUUAGAUUUAAAAGAAAAAAAAAAAGAAAAUCCGUCUCCUUGGAACCAAAACGUGAAAAAUGACACAUUUGUGCACAUUUGUACACACAUGUGCAAUUUUAAAAUUAACUGUAGAUUUAUUAGGUUCUUAGUAGUAUGACUUCACAAUAACAUGUAUAAAUGUCAGUGGCUGUAAUGUAAAUAAAUUUUGAGAAUAAUUUAUUUAAACUUAAUCAGAACUCAUCCCCCCUCCCCCUCCAAACGCCUUCGACGCUUAUUCCCUUCCGAUGCUGACGGUGGAUCAUGGAGACCAGCGCAUAGGCUGCAGGCCCGGAUGUACUGUCUACAUUGGGUGUCUCUCACCCUUUACCCACCCCUGUUGCUUGUCAUGUGUUUCUUUGGUGUCUUAGAGUUUUUUUCAUGUGCUAUGUGCAGAGGUGUUUUUUUUUUCUGUUCUCAAACUGAUCUCCCUCUUGGAGCUCAGUCUGGGGGGAGUUAUUUUUUUCUCCUUAUCUUUCCUCAUGUGGUGCUUUUCCAUGUAUACCCCUCUGACCUGUCUUCCCCAUGUGAUGUUUGUGUAAUGUAUGUAUGGUCGGAUGGGUAAGACGGCGCUGGCACGGCUGGCAGCCUUAACCCAAUUUCCCUCGGGAUGAAUAAAGUAUGAUCAAUCAAUCAAUCAAUUAGGUGUACAAGUUUGAAUUUCUUCAGGAUUUUCUCUA
ensembl:lncRNA